CGGGGUGUGGCCUAGCGGCAAGGCGCCUGCUUUGGGAGCAGGAGAUCGGCAGUUCGAAUCUGCCCACCCCGACCA
rnacentral:tRNA from 3 species